GGGUGUUUGCAGUAGUGGGGCCAGCGUGGUCAGUGAAUAUUUUGUCCCAAAUAAAACAUGUUUUAAAAAACCAUAAUAUUUUGAACUAGGUCUGUGAUGAAAUGGUGAAAUGGAAAAUCUCAAAAUUCUCUCAGUCACAUAGCCUGGGGGGUAAGAUGUCUACAAAUAUAUACUUUUUGUAGCGGAUGGCACUGGGCUGUCCUGAAAAUUACAUGUGUAUAACUGUAUUCGGG